rnacentral:rRNA from 1 species
GACGAACGCUGGCGGCGUGCCUAAUACAUGCAAGUAGAACGCUGAAGGAGGAGCUUGCUUCUCUGGAUGAGUUGCGAACGGGUGAGUAACGCGUAGGUAACCUGCCUGGUAGCGGGGGAUAACUAUUGGAGACGAUAGCUAAUACCGCAUAAUAUUGACUAUUGCAUGAUAGUCAGUUGAAAGGUGCAACUGCACCACUACCAGAUGGACCUGCGUUGUAUUAGCUAGUUGGUGGGGUAACGGCUCACCAAGGCGACGAUACAUAGCCGACCUGAGAGGGUGAUCGGCCACACUGGGACUGAGACACGGCCCAGACUCCUACGGGAGGCAGCAGUAGGGAAUCUUCGGCAAUGGACGGAAGUCUGACCGAGCAACGCCGCGUGAGUGAAGAAGGUUUUCGGAUCGUAAAGCUCUGUUGUAAGAGAAGAACGAGUGUGAGAGUGGAAAGCUCACACUGUGACGGUAUCUUACCAGAAAGGGACGGCUAACUACGUG